GAGAGCUAAUGAUGAAAUAAAAUAAUCUGUCAAUCCACUGAUUAAAGGUGAUGAGAAUCAACAACAUUAACUGAAGCUCUC